rnacentral:rRNA from 1 species
GACGAACGCUGGCGGCGUGCUUAACACAUGCAAGUCGAACGGAAAGGCCCUGCUUUUGUGGGGUGCUCGAGUGGCGAACGGGUGAGUAACACGUGAGUAACCUGCCCUUGACUUUGGGAUAACUUCAGGAAACUGGGGCUAAUACCGGAUAGGAGCUCCUGCUGCAUGGUGGGGGUUGGAAAGUUUCGGCGGUUGGGGAUGGACUCGCGGCUUAUCAGCUUGUUGGUGGGGUAGUGGCUUACCAAGGCUUUGACGGGUAGCCGGCCUGAGAGGGUGACCGGCCACAUUGGGACUAAGGUACGGACCAGACUCCUACGGGAGGCAGCAGUGGAGAAUAUUGCACAAUGGGUGGAAGCCUGAUGCAGCAGCGCCGCGUGCGGGAUGACGGCCUUCGGGUUGUAAACCGCUUUCGCCUGUGACGAAGCGUGAGUGACGGUACUGGGUAAAGAAGCACCGGCUAACUACGUG